rnacentral:piRNA from 1 species
UUGAUGGAUUGUCUCCAACCAGAGGAAG